GAUGAACGCUGGCGGCGUGCUUAACACAUGCAAGUCGAACGGAAAGGCUCCUGCUUGCAGGGGUACUCGAGUGGCGAACGGGUGAGUAACACGUGGGUGAUCUGCCCUGCACUUCGGGAUAAGCCUGGGAAACUGGGUCUAAUACCGGAUAGGACGAUGGUUUGGAUGCCAUUGUGGAAAGUUUUUCGGUGUGGGAUGAGCUCGCGGCCUAUCAGCUUGUUGGUGGGGUAAUGGCCUACCAAGGCGUCGACGGGUAGCCGGCCUGAGAGGGUGUACGGCCACAUUGGGACUGAGAUACGGCCCAGACUCCUACGGGAGGCAGCAGUGGGGAAUAUUGCACAAUGGGCGCAAGCCUGAUGCAGCGACGCCGCGUGGGGGAUGACGGCCUUCAGGUUGUAAACUCCUUUCGCUAGGGACGAAGCGCAAGUGACGGUACCUGGAGAAGAAGCACCGGCUAACUACGUG
rnacentral:rRNA from 1 species